CAUCAGUGGAGGAAUUAAUGUAGAGAGAACCUUGGUGCAAGAUAUUGUUUGCCCCCUGCAACGCAAGGGUGGCCGAAAGGUAGAUUCCCAUCCAUUGUGCAUCACACAAGGUGUUGGCAUUUGAUUGCAGUUGUGUGUUUGUGUGUACUGUUGCCACAUGAAUGCAGUUGAAUACUUGUUUUUAACAAAAAUUGAUACCACACUCAACAUGAAAACAAUCUAAAG